rnacentral:lncRNA from 1 species
AGGCUAUCCUGGAGGCCCUUAGGUGAGAGCAGCCACCCAGGCCAAGAGCUAUCUCCGCACCAGAGGUGAAAGCAAAGUGGUCCUCCGCGGCCGAGCUCUCCGCCUGAGCCCGGAUGGGAAGCGCGUGGUGAGGAGGAAGGACUCGCCCCGAACCUCGGCUUCUGCCGAAGAAAAUGGCCUCCCGGGGUCGACUUGGCCUCUUCGCUUCCGAUACCGCAAACCUUUCCCUAGCCAGGAUACUCUGGAGAGAUUGGGCCAAUUGAUGCGAAGUCUGUGUUGGGGAGGAACCCAAAAAUCUAUGCGUUCCCGAAAAAAGGGGGUGUCAUCCACAGAGAUGAGAACGCACCAGGAGACCAAGAACAAAGAUGGAAAGGGGGCUCAAGGUAUGGGAGAUGGCUGCAUAGUUAAGAGCAUUUGUUCUCUAGAGGAUCCAGGCUCCAUCCCCAACAUCCACGUGGCAGUUCACAAGUGUAACCCCAGUUCCUAAGGAUCCCAUGCUCUCUUCUGACCUCCACCAGCACCAGGCAUGUGUGCUACAGAGUCAUAUAUGCUCAUACACAUAAAAUAUAUUUAAAUGUCUUAAAAAAUAAAGAGGAAAAGGAGUCUUUGCAGACAA